AUUGAGAGAGAAGAUGAGAGGGGAGGAUGGGAGGGAGAAGUAAUAAAAGUGAAAACAAAAACAAAAAACAAAAAUCUAUUUGAAAUUGAUUUCACUUUUGUUAUUCCCCUCCAUCCCAUCCUUCCCUCUCAUCCUCUCUCUAUAU
rnacentral:miRNA from 1 species